GCCCACGUAGCUCAGUAGGUAGAGCACAUCCUUGGUAAGGAUGAGGUCACCGGUUCAACCCCGGUCGUGGGCU
rnacentral:tRNA from 2 species